GCCCAAAAUCAAGCCUACAACCCCUAUUACACCCCCCCCCUUUUUUUUCCUAACUGACUAAAACAUUUUCUUAUUCUAGUAGAGGUGAUCGAAAAACUAAUCAGCGCUUUACACACAGUACCGCAAGGGAACGAUGAAAUAGCUUUGAAAUAGACUAAAAGCUAAAAAUAGCAGUGAUUACCCCUCGUACCUUUCGCAUCAUGGUUUAGCCAGCCCUAGCCAAGCAAGGCGGACCCAAGUUUGGCCCCCCGAAACUGGGCGAGCUACUUCGAAACAGCUCUUAGAGCCAACCCGUCUCUGUUGCAAAAGAGUGGGAUGAUUUCCGAGUAGAAGUGAAAAGCCUAUCGAGCCCAGAGAUAGCUGGUUAUUCAAAAAAUGAAUUUUAGUUCACCCUUAAGCCCCCCCCCCAUUAACCCCAAAAACCCCCCCCGCUUAAAAGCUUUUCAAUUAAGGGACAGCUUAAUUGAAAAAGAAUUCAAUCUACAACUUAGGGAAAGCUGCAAUUACCUUGUUAAGGGGGCUUGAAAGCAGCCCCCUUUAAAAAAGCGUUUAAGCUUAACACACCCCAUUAAUAAAAUUCCCCUGACUUCCCCGAACCCUACACCACAAUUGAAUGACUCUAUAAAUUAUAGAAGACAUAAUGCUAGAACUAGUAACAAGAAAAAGACCUUUCUCCAAAAUGUAAGUGUAUGUCAAAACGAACCCAUCAUUGACACCUAACGCCUUUGAACUUAAUAUACUAACGCACCUAGAAAACCCUAUCACACAACGACGUUAACCUAACACAAGAACAUUUCUGGAAAGAUUAAAAGAGAGAGAAGGAACUCGGCAAAUUUAAGCCCCGCCUGUUUACCAAAAACAUCGCCUCUUGAUAAAAUAUAAGAGGUCCAGCCUGCCCGGUGAUAUAAUUUAACGGCCGCGGUAUACUGACCGUGCGAAGGUAGCAUAAUCACUUGUUCUUUAAAUGGGGACUAGUAUGAAUGGCACCACGAGGGCUUUACUGUCUCCUUUCUUCAAUCAGUGAAACUGACCUCCCUGUGAAGAGGCAGGGAUACUACUAUAAGACGAGAAGACCCCAUGGAGCUUUAAACCCAACAACAGCCCAAACACCUACCCCCUCAAAGUUUUUAAAGUUUUGUUAGUUGGUUUUAGGUUGGGGUGACCGCGGAGUACAAACCACCCUCCACGACGAAUGGGCCUACCCCCUUACCCAAGAAUUACACCUCUAAGGAUUAACACAUUAACGUAAAAUGAUCCAAAUAUUUGAUCAACGAACCAAGUUACCCUGGGGAUAACAGCGCAAUCCAUUUUUAGAGCCCCUAUCGACAAAUGGGUUUACGACCUCGAUGUUGGAUCAGGGUAUCCCGGAGGUGCA
rnacentral:rRNA from 1 species